rnacentral:rRNA from 1 species
CGAAGGACCCAAGCGUUAUCCGGAUUUAUUGGGUUUAAAGGGUGCGUAGGCGGGUUAUUAAGUCAGUGGUGAAAGCCUGCAGCUUAACUGCAGAACUGCCAUUGAUACUGAUGAUCUUGAGUAUGAUUGAGGUGGGCGGAAUGUGUCAUGUAGCGGUGAAAUGCUUAGAUAUGACACAGAACACCGAUUGCGAAGGCAGCUCACUAAGCCAUAACUGACGCUGAUGCACGAAAGCGUGGGGAGCAAACAGGAUUAGAUACCCUGGUAGUCCACGCCCUAAACGAUGAUCACUCGAUGUGUGCGAUACACUGUACGCGUCUGAGCGAAAGCAUUAAGUGAUCCACCUGGGGAGUACGACCGCAAGGUUG